UUCCUUAGGAAUAAGGAUGCAGGAGAAGC
rnacentral:piRNA from 1 species